AACACGCUGUUCCUGCUUUCCCUGGUGGGAGUUGAAAACAGAAGCAAAAGGUCAGAUCUUCUUAUUGAUCAGAAAAACCCCGUUGAAGCUCCAGUCCUCGUGUCCGACGAGGCUGACCAACGACCAUCAGAUGGGGAGCCUCCCAGCAGAACGUUGGUCAUCACCACAUCCUUCAGCUGAGGUUCUGGUAGGAUCCAAUACUUGACCAAGAGCCAACACAGGACACACUGGACUUGACUGUUGCACAUCUGACUUACUGACUUGAACUCUGGAUCCACAACAACAGUUCCUAAACCGAAAUCCUUGGAAGGACAAUUGUAUUUUUCCUUUUAUUAUUAUUUUUUAAGGGCCCAUAUGUACAAUAAUUAAUGUGCACUGUUCCAAUAAAAAGUCACCUUUUAUUAUUCAUA